CAGGCUUAACACAUGCAAGUCGAGGGGCAGCAUGGUCUUAGCUUGCUAAGGCCGAUGGCGACCGGCGCACGGGUGAGUAACACGUAUCCAACCUGCCGUCUACUCUUGGACAGCCUUCUGAAAGGAAGAUUAAUACAAGAUGGCAUCAUGAGUCCGCAUGUUCACAUGAUUAAAGGUAUUCCGGUAGACGAUGGGGAUGCGUUCCAUUAGAUAGUAGGCGGGGUAACGGCCCACCUAGUCUUCGAUGGAUAGGGGUUCUGAGAGGAAGGUCCCCCACAUUGGAACUGAGACACGGUCCAAACUCCUACGGGAGGCAGCAGUGAGGAAUAUUGGUCAAUGGGCGAGAGCCUGAACCAGCCAAGUAGCGUGAAGGAUGACUGCCCUAUGGGUUGUAAACUUCUUUUAUAAAGGAAUAAAGUCGGGUAUGCAUACCCGUUUGCAUGUACUUUAUGAAUAAGGAUCGGCUAACUCCGUGCCAGCAGCCGCGGUAAUACGGAGGAUCCGAGCGUUAUCCGGAUUUAUUGGGUUUAAAGGGAGCGUAGAUGGAUGUUUAAGUCAGUUGUGAAAGUUUGCGGCUCAACCGUAAAAUUGCAGUUGAUACUGGAUAUCUUGAGUGCAGUUGAGGCAGGCGGAAUUCGUGGUGUAGCGGUGAAAUGCUUAGAUAUCACGAAGAACUCCGAUUGCGAAGGCAGCCUGCUAAGCUGCAACUGACAUUGAGGCUCGAAAAGUGUGGGUAUCAAACAGGAUUAGAUACCCUGGUAGUCCACACGGUAAACGAUGAAUACUCGCUGUUUGCGAUAUACAGCAAGCGGCCAAGCGAAAGCGUUAAGUAUUCCACCUGGGGAGUACGCCGGCAACGGUGAAACUCAAAGGAAUUGACGGGGGCCCGCACAAGCGGAGGAACAUGUGGUUUAAUUCGAUGAUACGCGAGGAACCUUACCCGGGCUUAAAUUGCAGAUGAAUUACGGUGAAAGCCGUAAGCCGCAAGGCAUCUGUGAAGGUGCUGCAUGGUUGUCGUCAGCUCGUGCCGUGAGGUGUCGGCUUAAGUGCCAUAACGAGCGCAACCCUUGUUGUCAGUUACUAACAGGUUCCGCUGAGGACUCUGACAAGACUGCCAUCGUAAGAUGUGAGGAAGGUGGGGAUGACGUCAAAUCAGCACGGCCCUUACGUCCGGGGCUACACACGUGUUACAAUGGGGGGUACAGAGGGCCGCUACCACGCGAGUGGAUGCCAAUCCCCAAAACCUCUCUCAGUUCGGACUGGAGUCUGCAACCCGACUCCACGAAGCUGGAUUCGCUAGUAAUCGCGCAUCAGCCACGGCGCGGUGAAUACGUUCCCGGGCCUUGUACACACCGCCCGUCAAGCCAUGGGAGCCGGGGGUACCUGAAGUGCGUAACCGCGAGGAGCGCCCUAGGGUAAAACUGGUGACUGGGGC
rnacentral:rRNA from 1 species